rnacentral:tRNA from 1 species
GGUCUUAUAUUCAAUGAUGAUUUUAGACUGCAAUUCUAAAGGUGUAAAUUUACUAAGACCU